rnacentral:rRNA from 1 species
GCUUAGAUAAAACGGACGGAGCCGUCUGAGGCCCGUCGGAAUCAGUCGAAUCGACGCGUGAAAGCGAGUCCGACGCGAAUAAGGAACGAAAGUCCAGUCGGCUCGUAGAUUCGAGUAGCGCUCGUUCGAUGCAUUUCCGGUGGGUAAGCGCCGUGACCGAUGCGAAUAUCCGGCUAGCGAAGCCGUCGGAUUGAGGUCGAGUUCGUUCGCGAGUCUCGUAACCAGUCCGUCGGUCGAAUAGAAAUCGUUAGACCGUAGCAUCGAGAGAGAAUAAAAUUCGAACGUCGGCGAUUCUGUCGCGCUCGCCUAUUACGAUGGACGUACGUUCGGCCGAUCGUCGCCUGCUCGCAGGUUUCGGUCGCGUCCGGCGCGUAUCCGAAAUCGUCGGCGACGUUUUACGACGUUCGGGUGUCCACGGCGUCCGAGUCGGUCGCCCGUCCGACCCGUCUUGAAACACGGACCAAGGAGUCUAACGUAAGCGCGAGCUAAUGGGCGGAAAACCCAUAAGCGCAAUAAAAGUAAAAGUCGUUUCGGACGGCUUAGGUAC